AAGUGAUAUGUUUUCCCAUUCUUGUUUGAUAUAUGAUAUAUGAAACAAAUGAUCAUCAACACUAAAAUGCUUCUGGGGAACUGGGCCUAAAUUAGACUUGGCCAGCAGCUUAGUGGUACGAGAGGUGAGCCAACAACUGUAAGGCAAACUGGGCAGAGGUGGUUGUGCUCUUGAGGAAGGUACUUAACUUUCCAUUGCUCCAGGUGGCCCUGCUCUGCUGGGAAGACUGCUCCUCCCAAGUUAGGCAGCAAAAUUGAUACUUGUAGGAUCCAUGAUGUAGACAACAUAACCAAGAUUAUUCUGUCAAUAUUAGACCACAAAUAAGCGUUUACUAUAGAAUGGGGAGCUUCUCAAUUGCUUUCACUGUACAGUACAAAUGAGCCUUUGAGAACUGGGCUGGGGAAUCUGAAGUACCACACCAUUGCAAAGGGAAUAAAGCAAGGGUAUUUUUAAACUUUUUUGACAGGGUGCUAAAAUAUUUGAGUUUGAGUUGGGGGUGCUAAAUGUGUUGCUGCUGUAGUGUCAAUAUUUAAACACUAGCUGUAAAAAUCACCAGGCUAAUGGUCUAGCACCGUGCUGAAAUUAGUGUGAAGAUUUGAGAUAUUUUCCAGCUGUUCAUCAGGACUUAGAGCAGCCUUUAACACUGCAUGAACAUUUGCUCCUCCAAACUAAACCCAUUUUAAGAAUGUGUGCAAAGUGGUCACUCAUUGAUGAGUGUGUGGUCAUACAUUUAGGUAGUGUUUUAGUUUUUGUACCCUAAGGGGAUUAUUUUCAGAUUUUGGCACUUAACUCCAAUGUUUAAUUGAAAAUGGUACAAAGUGCUGAAACUGAGAAAUUUUAUUAUUUUCAUCUACAGUACAUAAUAUUAUCAAAAGAUUGAGAGAAUCCAAAGAAAUCUCUGUAUGGCUGGUUGUGAUCUUUGGGUCCUCAGACAGCACUGCCUUAAAAACUGAAAUGAUUCUGUAGUGGAAAUCACUGCAUGGGCUCAGAAACACUUCUGAAAACCACUGUAAAAAAAAAACACUGUCUGUAAAAAGCAAGAAACCGUAUAUAAAAGGAUACAGAAGCGUGGUCAACUUUAUUACAUACAUUAUUACAACAGCCAACAAUAUUACAACAGCAUUGCUCCAUAUUAAAAGAGUCCUGGUGCUAAACUGGCAGUACAGUACUGUCACCCACACAACCUUUUCGCAUUAUGAAAUGAAAAAUACGAGAAAGAGCAGCUGCAAUCCUUCAUCAAACAAGAAUGGGAAAACAUUUCACUUUCAAAACUACAUCAGUUGGUCUCCUCAGUUCCUAAAUGCUUACAGUUAUUAACUGUUCAAAAUAUUAACCUGUUUGGAAAUGGGGCUGUACAUUUUGAAUUAGGGUUUUGGAAUUAGGGUUGUAUGUUUUAUUCCAAAAAUAUAAUUGUGGCAGUGAUUUAUCAACAAGACUGUUGUCAUGAUACCAUCAUGGUUUUGUGGUGGUCUUUGCAGCCGUAAAGAUGAUCACCAGCUACAGCAAUAUAAACACACUUGUGUGCACUGAAGCAGUGAACAGCAGUUCAUCAACAGUUACUGAUGAAACCUACUGGCUCAGUGGCAGCAGUUCGUAGCUCUCACCUUCCACCGUUCAGUUCUUUUUACAUUGUCUUGUCCCUGUGACAAUCUUGUUAAAGUACAGAGUAUUUAUUCAUGUGGUAUGUGUUACAGAUUGCUUGUAUCUAUGCAUAACAAUUAUGCACAGACAAAUAAUGCUCAUAGUCAAUUUAAACAAAUAGACAAAUCAAUAUUGUUCAGGGGUUGUUACCAGGAAUGCUAAAAGAUUUUCAGGAGCUGCUUCAGGACAUGCUAGAAACCCUAAUGCCAUGCUUGGUGUAUGGUGUUUAGUCUUGACUUGGUGUUAGGCACAGGACAUUAUAUUUAAUUUUAUGCCCAUACUUCAGAAAAGGUUAACAACAAUAAGUAGUUUCCCCUCUUAAAACGAUUGUUAAUAUUUGUAAAAUAUUCACAGCAUUUGAUUGCCUGAAAAUUUCAAUGCCAGCUUCCUUCCUGCGUGAAUGCGCUGGUGUCUUUGGAAUGUAAUCUGGAGAGUAAAACUGUUCCCACACUCUAAGCAGUAAUAUGGCUUCUCUCCUUUGUGAAUUUGUUGGUGUUGAUGGAGAGAACCCUGUUGAGUAAAACUCUUCCCACACUCUAAGCAAUGAUAUGGCUUCUCUCCUGUGCGAAUGUGCUGGUCCAAAUGACUCAGCUGAAUAAAACUCAAUCCAUAGUCUCAGCAGUAGUGAUUACUCUUCUUGCAUCGUUUGUGAGAGGUGUUACAUGUGGAUGUAGCAGAUGUUUGCUGUUACUGCAGCUUCUUGAUGCCAUAUUCUUUUAUUUUACCUGGUUUUAAUGGCGUACUAUUACUCUUGCUAGAAUGUUCUGAAGUGUUUAGGGGUGAAAAUUUGAGCUGUGUAGGAAAAUGGACACUAGGAGCAGGAGAAGUCUAGAACCAGGACACCAUUUCUGGUAGAAAAAAAAGAUAAUCAAAACAAAGUGAAAUGCAACAACAGUGAUCUAAUCCAAAUCAAUAAUCAAUGUGCAAAAUACAUUUAGGUACAAAAUAUAAUACGUAUCUAAUACAAUUUUGUUAGUGUCUUAUGUAGUCUAAGACAAAUCAGAAUGUGCUCUAUAAGACUGGUCAAAAUGAUCAAACAGACAGCAAACGUGGUACAAAAGGAGACAGGAAACGUGGUGGAAAACACAACAGGAAACAGCAAACGUGGUGGAACAAACAAUAGGAAAAUGUGCAACAGAACAAGAGAUAGCAAAUGUGGGGAACAAGAAUAGACAGCAAAUGUGGGGGAACACAGACAGCAAAUGUGCAACAGAACAAGAGAUAGCAAAUGUGGGGAACAAGAAUAGACAGCAAACGUGGGGGAACAACAAUAGAUAGCAAACAUGGUGCAACAGAAGACAGCAAACAUGGUGGAACAAACAAUAGGAAACAGCAAAUGUGGAGCAACACAGACAGCCAACGUGGAACAACAGAACAAGAGACAGCAAACAUAGUAAAACAACAAGAGACAGCAAGCGUGGUGCACCAGAAAAACGGGAUAGCAAAAGCGGUGCAACAUAACAACAGGAGACAGCAAACACGGUGCAACAGAACAACAGACAGCAAACGCGGUGCAACAGAAAAACAGACAGCAAACGUGGUACAAAAGGAGACAGGAAACGUGGUGGAAAACACAACAGGAAACAGCAAACGUGGUGGAACACAGACAGCAAAUGUGCAACAGAACAAGAGAUAGCAAAUGUGGGGAACAAGAAUAGACCAAACGUGGGGGAACACAGACAGCAAAUGUGCAACAGAACAAGAGAUAGCAAAUGUGGGGAACAAGAAUAGACAGCAAACAUGGGGGAACAACAAUAGAUAGCAAACAUGGUGCAACAGAAGACAGCAAACAUGGUGGAACAAACAAUAGGAAACAGCAAAUGUGGAGCAACACAGACAGCCAACGUGGAACAACAGAACAAGAGACAGCAAACAUAGUAAAACAACAUGAGACAGCAAGCGUGGUGCACCAGAAAAACGGGAUAGCAAAAGCGGUGCAACAGAACAACAGGAGACAGCAAACACGGUGCAACAGAACAACAGACAGCAAACGCGGUGCAACAGAAAAACAGACAGCAAACGUGGUGCAAAAGAACAACAGACAGCAAACAUGGUGUAACGGACAACAGACAGCAAAUGUAGUGCAAAGGACAACAGACAGCAAACGUGGUACAAAAGGAGACAGGAAACGUGGUGGAAAACACAACAGGAAACAGCAAACGUGGUGGAACACAGACAGCAAAUGUGCAACAGAACAAGAGAUAGCAAACAUGGUGAACAAGAAUAGACAGCAAAUGUGGGAGAACAACAAUAGAGAGCAAACAUGAUGCAACAGAGGAGAGCAAACAUGGUGGAACAAUCAAUAGGAAAUAGCAAAUGUGGAGCAACACAGACAACCAACGUGGAACAACAGAACAAGAGACAGCAAAUGUGGCAGUACAGAACAAGACAUCAAACAUAGUGGAACACACAACAGGACACAGCAAACAUGGUGCAACAAAACAAGACAGCAAGCGUGGUGCACCAGAAAAACAGGAUAGUAAACGCGGUGCAACAGAACAACAGGAGACAGCAAACACGCUGCAACAGAACAACAGACAGCAAAUGCGGUGCAACAGAACAACAGACAGCAAACGUGGUGCAACAGACAGCAAACGUGGUGCAACAGAACAACAGACAACAAACGCGGUGCAACAGAAAAACAGACAACAAACGUGGUGGAACACACAGGAGUCAGCAAACGUGGUGGAACACACAAAAGGAAACAGCAAACAUGUUACAACAGAACAACAAACAGCAAACAUAGUGCAACAGAACAACAGACAGCAAACAUGGUGCAACAGAAUAGACAGCAAAUGUGGUGCAACAGGAGACAGCAAAUAAGGUGGAACACACAACAGUAAACAGCAAACGAGGUGCAACACAGACAGUGAAUGUGGUGCAACAGAACAACAGACAGCAAAUGUGGUGCAACAGAACAAGAGACAGCAAUCGUGGUGGUACAGAACAACUGACAGCAAACGUUGUCGAAGACACAACAGAGGACAGCAAACGUGGUGCAACAGAACAACAGACAGCAAAUGUAGAGCAAAAGAACAACAGACAGCAAACGUGCAAAAGAACAACAGACAGCAAACAUGCUGCAACAGAACAACAAAAGACAGCAAAAGUGGUGCAACAGAACAGGAGAUAGCAAACUUGGUGCAACAGAACAAUAGACAGCAAAUGUGGGGGACAACAGCAGCCAACGUUGUGCAACAGAAUAGGAUACAGCAAAUGUGGUACAACAGAAAAACAGGAGACAGCAAAUGUGGUGCAACAGAACAAUAGACAGCAAACGGGGUGCAACAGAACAGCACACAGCAAAUAUUAUCUACUUAAUUUAAUCAAUGCUAAAAUAUAUUGAAUGUAAUUAGUUAAUACAUACUAACAUAGAUUAAAUGAAAAAGGCUGUAAAACUAACAAGAUUCUGUUAUUUAAAAUGUAUGUGAUUAGUUUUCAUAGAAUUUAUGAGAAGUCAAUGGAACGAUGUUUUGCGCCAGUAGGUGGCGGUAAUGCCCCUUUAAGUUGCCAACUGCCGUAAAACUCGAAGAAGAAAAAUAUGGGAUGCACUUCUACUGGUGCGGGUGCAACAUCAGUCCAUGUGAGAUGGUGCCUAGUUUUUUUCUCCGUCUCCUGUCCUGUUUUCUCACAUACAUGUGGCAACAUAUAUUUAGUGCUGUGUGAAUGUGGCAUUGCAAAUUGUGUGACAGUUUGUUAUCUACUAGGUAUGAGUUAUUAAAACAUUUUAGGCCAAGACAUUUCCACAAGAGCCGGACAGGGCAAUAUCCAUGUGUAUAUCUAUACUGUCCUUGCAUAUUCACAAGCUGGAAGAAACUUCUGAGUCACAUAUAUAGAACACACAUCAAGUUAGAAACAGCAGGUGCUCAGUCCAUUACAUUUUCAUGUCAGACAUAAUUUAAUGCUUUUAAUAUUUUU